rnacentral:rRNA from 1 species
AUUGAACGCUGGCGGCAGGCCUAACACAUGCAAGUCGAGCGGAGCGGCGGACGGGUGAGUAAUGUCUGGGAAACUGCCUGAUGGAGGGGGAUAACUACUGGAAACGGGCGCUAAUACCGCAUACUAUCAGAUGAGCCUAGGUCGGAUUAGCUAGUUGGUGGGGUAAAGGCCUACCAAGGCGACGAUCCCUAACUGGUCUGAGAGGAUGAUCAGUCACAAUGGAACUGAGAAACGGGCCAGACUCCUAAGGGAGGGAGCAGUGGGGAAUAGUGGAACAUGGGCGAAAGCCUGAUUCAAGCAAUGCGGGGGUGGGAAGAAGGUCUUCGGAUUGUAAAGCACUUUAAGUUGGGAGGCGUUACCAACAGAAUAAGCACCGGCUAACUUCGUGCCAGCAGCCGCGGUAAUAC